GAUGAACGCUGGCGGCGUGCCUAAUACAUGCAAGUCGAGCGAACAGACGAGGAGCUUGCUCCUCUGACGUUAGCGGCGGACGGGUGAGUAACACGUGGAUAACCUACCUAUAAGACUGGGAUAACUUCGGGAAACCGGAGCUAAUACCGGAUAAUAUAUUGAACCGCAUGGUUCAAUAGUGAAAGACGGUUUUGCUGUCACUUAUAGAUGGAUCCGCGCCGCAUUAGCUAGUUGGUAAGGUAACGGCUUACCAAGGCGACGAUGCGUAGCCGACCUGAGAGGGUGAUCGGCCACACUGGAACGGAGACACGGUCCAGACUCCUACGGGAGGCAGCAGUAGGGAAUCGUCCGCAAUGGGCGAAAGCCUGACGGAGCAACGCCGCGUGAGUGAUGAAGGUCUUCGGAUCGUAAAACUCUGUUAUUAGGGAAGAACAAAUGUGUAAGUAACUAUGCACGUCUUGACGGUACCUAAUCAGAAAGCCACGGCUAACUACGUG
rnacentral:rRNA from 1 species